AUUGAACGCUGGCGGCAUGCCUUACACAUGCAAGUCGAACGGUAACAGGUCUUCGGAUGCUGACGAGUGGCGAACGGGUGAGUAAUACAUCGGAACGUGCCUAGUAGUGGGGGAUAACUACUCGAAAGAGUGGCUAGUACCGCAUGAGAUCUACGGAUGAAAGCAGGGGAUCGCAAGACCUUGUGCUACUAGAGCGGCCGAUGGCAGAUUAGGUAGUUGGUGGGAUAAAAGCUUACCAAGCCGACGAUCUGUAGCUGGUCUGAGAGGACGAUCAGCCACACUGGGACUGAGACACGGCCCAGACUCCUACGGGAGGCAGCAGUGGGGAAUUUUGGACAAUGGGCGCAAGCCUGAUCCAGCAAUGCCGCGUGCAGGAUGAAGGCCUUCGGGUUGUAAACUGCUUUUGUACGGAACGAAAAGCCCUGGGUUAAUACCCUGGGGUCAUGACGGUACCGUAAGAAUAAGCACCGGCUAACUACGUGACAGCCGCCGCCGUAAGAC
rnacentral:rRNA from 1 species